CAAAAGGCUCUUUUAAGAGCCACCAAAGUUUCGGAUGAAGGGCUG
rfam:Dipodomys ordii contig_22834, whole genome shotgun sequence.